AUUGAACGCUGGCGGCAGGCCUAACACAUGCAAGUCGAACGGUAACAGGAAGAAGCUUGCUUCUUUGCUGACGAGUGGCGGACGGGUGAGUAAUGUCUGUGAAACUGCCUGAUGGAGGGGGAUAACUACUGGAAACGGUAGCUAAUACCGCAUAACGUCGCAAGCCCAAAGAGGGGGACCUUCGGGCCUCUUGCCAUCGGAUGUGCCCAGAUGGGAUUAGCUAGUAGGUGGGGUAACGGCUCACCUAGGCGACGAUCCCUAGCUGGUCUGAGAGGAUGACCCGCCACACUGGAACUGAGACACGGUCCAGACUCCUACGGGAGGCAGCAGUGGGGAAUAUUGCACAAUGGGCGCAAGCCUGAUGCAGCCAUGCCGCGUGUAUGAAGAAGGCCUUCGGGUUGUAAAGUACUUUCAGCGGGGAGGAAGGGAGUAAAGUUAAUACCUGUGCUCAUUGACGUUACCCGCAGAAGAAGCACCGGCUAACUCCGUG
rnacentral:rRNA from 1 species